rnacentral:rRNA from 1 species
CGUGAGUGAUGAAGGCUUUCGGGUCGUAAAGCUCUGUCAAGUGGGAAGAAUAUGCAGUUGGCUAAUAUCCAUCUGUACUGACGGUACCACUGAAGGAAGCACCGGCUAACUCCGUGCCAGCAGCCGCGGUAAUACGGGGGGUGCAAGCGUUACUCGGAAUCAUUGGGCGUAAAGGGCGCGUAGGCGGCCUGGUAAGUCAGAUGUGAAAGCCCGGGGCUCAACCCCGGAAGUGCAUUUGAUACUGCCAGGCUUGAGUAUGGGAGAGGAAAGUGGAAUUCCUGGUGUAGAGGUGAAAUUCGUAGAUAUCAGGAGGAACACCUGUGGCGAAGGCGACUUUCUGGACCAAUACUGACGCUGAGGCGCGAAGGCGUGGGUAGCAAACAGGAUUAGAUACCCUGGUAGUCCACGCAGUAAACGUUGUUCACUAGGUGUAGCGGGUAUUGACCCCUGCUGUGCCGCAGCUAACGCAU